CGCUUAAGGUGCCUAAGUGGGGGAAGAAGUAAGUCUCAUCCCUUAACUACGAAACCGAAACUAAGCGGCUCUUCUUCAUAUCGAGAAAUGAAGUGAGAAGGAUUUCUAGCUAGUCUUCCUUAUAAACCGGGUAAAUGACUUAACCAAUCGAGUUGUUCACAUUCAACUAUGGCAAUUCUUGUUAAGAGCUGAAACCAAGAGUUCAGAGCGGCC
rnacentral:lncRNA from 1 species